GGAGACGUGGGUGAGUGGUUGAAACCAGCACACUGCUAACGUGCCAGGGGAUAAAACCCCUCGCGAGUUCGAAUCUCGCCGUCUCCG
rnacentral:tRNA from 1 species